AGAGUUUGAUCCUGGCUCAGAUUGAACGCUGGCGGCAUGCCUUACACAUGCAAGUCGAACGGCAGCACGGGAGCUUGCUCCUGGUGGCGAGUGGCGAACGGGUGAGUAAUAUAUCGGAACGUACCCUAGAGUGGGGGAUAACGUAGCGAAAGUUACGCUAAUACCGCAUACGAUCUACGGAUGAAAGUGGGGGAUCGCAAGACCUCAUGCUCAUGGAGCGGCCGAUAUCUGAUUAGCUAGUUGGUGGGGUAAAAGCUCACCAAGGCGACGAUCAGUAGCUGGUCUGAGAGGACGACCAGCCACACUGGAACUGAGACACGGUCCAGACUCCUACGGGAGGCAGCAGUGGGGAAUUUUGGACAAUGGGCGCAAGCCUGAUCCAGCAAUGCCGCGUGAGUGAAGAAGGCCUUCGGGUUGUAAAGCUCUUUUGUCAGGGAAGAAACGGUUCGGGCUAAUAUCCUGGGCCAAUGACGGUACCUGAAGAAUAAGCACCGGCUAACUACGUGCCAGCAGCCGCGGUAAUACGUAGGGUGCAAGCGUUAAUCGGAAUUACUGGGCGUAAAGCGUGCGCAGGCGGUUGUGCAAGACAGAUGUGAAAUCCCCGGGCUCAACCUGGGAAUUGCAUUUGUGACUGCACGGCUAGAGUGUGUCAGAGGGGGGUAGAAUUCCACGUGUAGCAGUGAAAUGCGUAGAGAUGUGGAGGAAUACCGAUGGCGAAGGCAGCCCCCUGGGAUAACACUGACGCUCAUGCACGAAAGCGUGGGGAGCAAACAGGAUUAGAUACCCUGGUAGUCCACGCCCUAAACGAUGUCUACUAGUUGUCGGGUCUUAAUUGACUUGGUAACGCAGCUAACGCGUGAAGUAGACCGCCUGGGGAGUACGGUCGCAAGAUUAAAAACUCAAAGGAAUUGACGGGGACCCGCACAAGCGGUGGAUGAUGUGGAUUAAUUCGAUGCAACGCGAAAAACCUUACCUACCCUUGACAUGUCUGGAAUCCUUGAGAGAUCAGGGAGUGCUCGAAAGAGAAUCAGAACACAGGUGCUGCAUGGCUGUCGUCAGCUCGUGUCGUGAGAUGUUGGGUUAAGUCCCGCAACGAGCGCAACCCUUGUCAUUAGUUGCUACGAAAGGGCACUCUAAUGAGACUGCCGGUGACAAACCGGAGGAAGGUGGGGAUGACGUCAAGUCCUCAUGGCCCUUAUGGGUAGGGCUUCACACGUCAUACAAUGGU
rnacentral:rRNA from 1 species